rnacentral:rRNA from 1 species
UUUAAAGGACAUCCUGGGAUUUUUAACAACCACAGAGAGUCUACCACUGAAGCUAAGCAGGGCUGCGCCCGGUCAGUACCUGGAUGGGAGGCCACAUGGGAAAGCUAGGUUUCGGUUGGAA